GAGCAAUUACAUCAAUAUACAAGCCUUAAAAUCCAAAGAACACCAAAAUACUUGAUAAGGUGUUAUAAAAAACUUAUAUAUCUUUAUAAGGAAUUUUUCCCGAAGUUCAACAGCUCAUAACAUACGAUCUAACCGUCUAAACAACUCCAAAUUUUACAUGGAGUACUGAUAUAUCUUUAGCAACUACCACACCAAAAUUCAACCGUAAAUUCGUCUUGGAUCUUGUGAUAUCUUGAAAACCCUAACUAUAGCUUCAAACCCUAGCUUUUUUACACCCGUGUACAACUUCCUUCGUAUCUCACAAAGUAAUUAUUCAAAUACUAUGAAACUUUGAUCUAAAGCUUUUUAACCCAAUUACACACACUUGUGGAAAUUUUGAGCCAAAAAUUCGUCCAGAAACUCAAGAUAAAGCUUCACCCAUAACUAGCAACAAAACAAUAUACUUACUGCCUUCAAAUUACAAGUGCUGUCUUCAACACCUCAUAACUCCUUCACCCAAUCUUAGAAUUCACUAUACAGUAAGUAGAAUGUGUAGCCGAAAAAAUGCUCCCUCCAAAUCCAGUCGCCGAUCUUCCGUUGCUCUCCGUAUUCGUAUGUGAUGCCCAAAAGAAGUGACAGUAGGUACGAAAUUGACAUCUUAUCUUUGAACAUUCAUAUCUUUUCCAUAAAAACUCGAAAUCACACAAAAUCUUCACCCAAAUUAUACCCAAAACCCUAAACCUUCUGACCCUAGCCUCAAAAGCUCGA
rnacentral:lncRNA from 1 species